GAUGAACGCUGGCGGCGUGCCUAAUACAUGCAAGUCGAGCGAACAGACGAGGAGCUUGCUCCUCUGACGUUAGCGGCGGACGGGUGAGUAACACGUGGAUAACCUACCUAUAAGACUGGGAUAACUUCGGGAAACCGGAGCUAAUACCGGAUAAUAUAUUGAACCGCAUGGUUCAAUAGUGAAAGACGGUUUUGCUGUCACUUAUAGAUGGAUCCGCGCCGCAUUAGCUAGUUGGUAAGGUAACGGCUUACCAAGGCAAGGAUGCGUAGCCGACCGGAGAGGGUGGUCGGCCACACUGGAGCUGAGACACGGUCCAUACUCCUACGGGAGGCACCAGUAGGGAAUCUUCCGCAAUGGGCGAAAGCCUGACGGAGCAACGCCGCGUGAGUUAUGAAGGUCUUCGGAUCGUAAAACUCUGUUAUUAGUGAAGAACAAAUGUGUAAGUAACUAUGCACGUCUUGACGGUACCUAAUCAGAAAGCCACGGCUAACUACGUG
rnacentral:rRNA from 1 species